CCUCACUGGGCACCACUUCCCUCAUAUUAAUUCAAUCUUUAAUUGAUAUUGAGAAGUUCUUUUUUCCUUUGAGUCUAACAAAUAACAAGCUCUGUGCUGAAAGUAAUAACCUCACCAGAGAGAAACAUAACUAAGAGGUAGGAGAGCAACUGAACAAUACAAUAAUUAGAGGUCAUCUGUAAGACUGGAAAUUUGAAAUGACAAGGCAGAAACACUAUCGAAGUAGGAUUCAGCUAUCUUGAAAUGCAGGAUGUGUGUUGAAGGAUGCUUUUGUUGUUUGAUCUACAGUCAGGUAUGCAUUACUGUAAGUAUCAUAGUAGGUAGCUGUUGAGGGUUCUUUCUAUGUAGCAGGAACCCAGAGUCAAAAGCAACAAGCUCAUUGCUUGUUCUUGUUGUUGCUGCCUGUGCCUUAAAAAUUGUGAUUAGAACUAAAAAGGAAACAAAACUCUCGUGAUGGAUGGUUCAGCAGUUUGUAAAUCUCCUUUCCUUAUUCACACAAGAAUGCCUUGCUCUCAUCCCCUUUCCCUGUUAUCUUUUUGGGCUAACGUCAUGUGCAG
ensembl:lncRNA